GUGGAGAUCGCAUUCUCUUCAUCUUAGGAAGCUGCUCCCUAAUUUUCAUGAGCACUUGAAUUCUAGAUAUAUUCAGUGGAGUAUAGUUUGUGAAUCUCCUCGACAGCAACAAGCACCUCAGUGAGGGUCGACACUAUCCCCUAAGGCUUUUAGGUCAUCAUCCUCAAGGAGGCAUUCUAGAUUGUUGGUGUCAGGGUAGAGUCUUGGACUGUGGCUGACUCCUUAGGGGAUCCUCUCAGAUUGGGGAGAGCUUGGGGUCUUCUUUCUUUCUCUCGAUCGUAACAUCUAUCGAGGUCCCACAUUUUUCGAAGGCUUCUUCAGUUCGAGCAUAUUUUUUGGUCCAAUCUAGCAUCUUGACAAAGUCUUUCGAAUAUUUUUUCUCCAAGA
rnacentral:lncRNA from 1 species